rnacentral:miRNA from 1 species
CCAUGAAGCUAAAGUACAGUAAAAGUUAGGGACACGAAACCUGAACAGGUUUCGUGUCCCUAACUUUUACUGUACUUUAGCUUCAUGGCUGCACUA